AGAGUUUGAUCCUGGCUCAGAACGAACGCUGGCGGCAGGCUUAACACAUGCAAGUCGAACGCUCCGCAAGGAGAGUGGCAGACGGGUGAGUAACGCGUGGGAAUCUACCUAGUUCUACGGAACAACAGUUGGAAACGACUGCUAAUACCGUAUACGCCCUAAGGGGGAAAGAUUUAUCGGAAUUAGAUGAGCCCGCGUAAGAUUAGCUAGUUGGUGGGGUAAUGGCCUACCAAGGCGACGAUCUUUAGCUGGUCUGAGAGGAUGAUCAGCCACACUGGGACUGAGACACGGCCCAGACUCCUACGGGAGGCAGCAGUGGGGAAUAUUGGACAAUGGGCGCAAGCCUGAUCCAGCCAUGCCGCGUGAGUGAUGAAGGCCUUAGGGUUGUAAAGCUCUUUCAGUGGGGAAGAUAAUGACGGUACCCACAGAAGAAGCCCCGGCUAACUUCGUGCCAGCAGCCGCGGUAAUACGAAGGGGGCUAGCGUUGUUCGGAUUUACUGGGCGUAAAGCGCACGUAGGCGGAUUGUUAAGUCAGGGGUGAAAUCCUGGAGCUCAACUCCAGAACUGCCUUUGAUACUGGCAAUCUAGAGUCCGGAAGAGGUGAGUGGAACUCCUAGUGUAGAGGUGGAAUUCGCAGAUAUUAGGAAGAACACCAGUGGCGAAGGCGGCUCACUGGUCCGGUACUGACGCUGAGGUGCGAAAGCGUGGGGAGCAAACAGGAUUAGAUACCCUAGUAGUCC
rnacentral:rRNA from 1 species